GCCGGUGUAGCUCAGCUGGCUAGAGCAGCUGAUUUGUAAUCAGCAGGUCGUGGGUUCGAGUCCCUCCAUCGGCUCCA
rnacentral:tRNA from 2 species